GAUGAACGCUGGCGGCGUGCCUAAUACAUGCAAGUCGAGCGAACAGACGAGGAGCUUGCUCCUCUGACGUUAGCGGCGGACGGGUGAGUAACACGUGGAUAACCUACCUAUAAGACUGGGAUAACUUCGGGAAACCGGAGCUAAUACCGGAUAAUAUAUUGAACCGCAUGGUUCAAUAGUGAAAGACGGUUUUGCUGUCACUUAUAGAUGGAUCCGCGCCGCAUUAGCUAGUUGGUAAGGUAACGGCUUACCAAGGCAACGAUGCGUAGCCGACCUGAGAGGGGGAUCGGCCACACGGGAACGUAGACACGGUCCAGACUACUACGGGAGGCAGCAGUAGGGAAUCUUCCGCAAUGGGCGAAAGCCUGACGGAGCAACGCCGCGUGAGUGAUGAAGGUCUUCGGAUCGUAAAACUCUGUUAUUAGGGAAGAACAAAUGUGUAAGUAACUAUGCACGUCUUGACGGUACCUAAUCAGAAAGCCACGGCUAACUACGUG
rnacentral:rRNA from 1 species